rnacentral:rRNA from 1 species
AAGUGCUGAAAGCAUCUAAGCGCGAAGCCCACCCCAAGAUGAGAUCUCCCACUGGAAUUCGGGUUCCCAGCAAGGUUUACUUUGCUGGGUGCUUAACCAGGUAAGGCCGCAAGUAGACUACUUGCUUGAUAGGCGGCAUGUGUAAGCGGAGUAAUCCGUUUAGCUAAGCCGUACUAAUGGCCGAGGCCUUGAC